GUGCCAGCCGCCGCGGUAAAACGUAGGAACCGAGCGUUAUCCGGAUUCACUGGGUGUAAAGCGCGUGCAGGUGGCUUCGUAAGUUGGACGUGAAAUCUCCUGGCUUAACUGGGAGAGGCCGUUCAAUACUGCGGGGCUUGAGGGCAGGAGAGGGAGGUGGAAUUCCCGGUGUAGUGGUGAAAUGCGUAGAUAUCGGGAGGAACACCAGUGGCGAAGGCGGCCUCCUGGCCUGCUCCUGACACUGAGACGCGAAAGCUAGGGGAGCGAACGGGAUUAGAAACCCUGGUAGUCC
rnacentral:rRNA from 1 species